UCUGAUCCCUGGCCCCGGAACUCUGUAUGCUGCGGGGCGGCCAAAAAGAAAAGGAAAAAGAAAAGCGCCUCUUGGGUAUAUUUUUAAGGCUUAGAUAGGGCUGAUUAUAUCCUCUCCUCCUCCUGAAGGGACAGAAGUAGCUGCCAAGUGGUCAGAGCAGCAGAAUACGGAUCUCUCGACCGUCAGGCUCAUCGCAGCGGUGGAGACGUGGACAUCGUGGCGAGUGCCUGCUGGGACCCCCGAGAGGGGGCGUCUGGAUAAAAUCAAUCUGCCACGUUUCAAAGGGCGUGCAGCAACACCGGAUCCCCAACCCACCGAGCGAGGCCAGGGAUCGAACCCGCAUCUUCAUAGACACUGGUCAGAUUCGUUUCCGCUGCGCCACAGCGGGAACUCCAGUCCAGUCCUGUUUUUCGUCAUGGACGUCUGAGCCCUCUGGUUGCAAGGGGACUGGAUGAAGCCUGUCGCAUCUGGGAAGGGCUGCAUCCGGCGAGAGCCAGGUCGUUUCAAGGGCGCUUCAUCCAGUCGAAGACCGCUGUGCCGAGUGUCUAGUACGGCCUCCACAGAGGGGGAAACAAGACAGUGAGAAGGCGCUUGCUGACUGUGUCUUGUGUGGUCGGACAUGGCAGCGCUGCACAGCCGGUACAAGGUGCGAUAAGCCCUUUCUCGACAGAAACUCCUUCUGUGGCCUCUUUUUAAAAAUUUUCUUUAAUUACUCAAAUG